UCUCCUUUUCAGACUCCAAUUGUCCAAGCAUCCUGGGGGCCUCUGGACUCAGUUUUCUUUCCAAACCCUCUCAGACCCUCUGCUGUCUCUCCAUACUCCUGCACCCUACCCCACCCACAGCCCUCCGUCCUCAUCCCUUCAGGUUUUAUCCUAAAAUGAGCAUAAUGAUAAGGGGAAUCACAGUUUCUAUCAGCGUAAUUAGGAGGGAGGACUCUGGGGCCAGAAUCAAAUGUAAGCCCUGCCACUUCUAGCUGUGUGGCCACGGGCAAGUGACUGAACCUCUCUGUGCCUCCAUUUCCUCAUCUACACCUGGGGACCACAAAGCACAUGCCUACCUCACAGGACUGUGAGGAUUCAACACACACAUAUGUGCAAGGCUCUUAGGGGGCGGUUCCUGGCACUCUGUAAGCACUCCGUACAUAGAAGGUAUGGACUGGGCACAGUGGCUGACAGCUGUCAUCCCAGCACUUUGGGAGGCUGAGGCAGGAGAGCUGCUUGAGCCCGGGAGGUGAAGGCUACAAUGAGCUGUGAUCACAUCACUGUACUCCAGCCUGGGUGACAGAGCAAGACCUUGGCUCUAAAAACUAAAAUUAAAAAAUUGAAGAUAC
rnacentral:lncRNA from 10 species